ACUGAUCGCUAUGCCAACAGGGAGUAUGAAAGCCCAGGCAAAUAUUUGAGUAAUGGAAAAUCUUCGAACCAAAAGGGUUCUAGCAAAGGCACAGAGAAAUCACAUGAAUCCACUGGAGAUCAUUUGAGCGAAAAGAAACGCUCUGAAGGAAAAAAAGGUUCUAGAAGCAAUGGUCGAAAUUAAACAAUAAUCACAAACAGGUUUACUCGCAACUACUUAAGUGGAAGGAAAAUAUAUAUGCAGCAACAAAUUCUACUAUUACUGUAACAUCCAACUUUGUUGUUUCCAACUUGUUUAGAGUCUAUAGUUUGCAGUCUAAAUUGAACAAAACAAUAAGUCUAUAUUAUUCUUGUUAAUAAGUUAUUAUAAUUUGGGAUUCACAUGUACGUUUAUUUUUUAUUUCUUUU